AAGCUUGGGCUCUUUGCUGACGAGUGGCGGACGGGUGAGUAAUGUCUGGGAAACUGCCUGGUGGAGGGGGAUAACUACUGGAAACGGUAGCUAAUACCGCAUAACGUCGCAAGACCAAAGAGGGGGACCUUCGGGCCUCUUGCCAUCGGAUGUGCCCAGAUGGGAUUAGCUUGUAGGUGGGGUAACGGCUCACCUAGGCGACGAUCCCUAGCUGGUCUGAGAGGAUGACCAGCCACACUGGAACUGAGACACGGUCCAGACUCCUACGGGAGGCAGCAGUGGGGAAUAUUGCACAAUGGGCGCAAGCCUGAUGCAGCCAUGCCGCGUGUAUGAAGAAGGCCUUCGGGUUGUAAAGUACUUUCAGCGGGGAGGAAGGGAGUAAAGUUAAUACCUUUGCUCAUUGACGUUACCCGCAGAAGAAGCACCGGCUAACUCCGUGCCAGCAGCCGCGGUAAUACGGAGGGUGCAAGCGUUAAUCGGAAUUACUG
rnacentral:rRNA from 1 species